CAUCCUGCACCACAGAUCAUGAGAGAAACACAACGUCUCUAUACUUCUAAUGAAAAACUUGUACUUCAAGCUGAUAUCAGCUUUACAUCUCCAAGAACCCACAAAAGGUCUUUUGAGAAGAGCGACUCUGCUAUUAACUAUAUAUGAGAACUAGACUAACUGAGUGUGAUGUCACCCACAGAAAAUGAGUUACUUCUAGGUCCAAUAAAAUUAAGUCAAUUCAGUUGGCUUUUUUUUUUUUUUUGCAAUACAGGCAUCACCAUGUUGGAGCCAGACAACAUCAGUAAGAAGUGAUUGGGCCCAGUCGGUCUAAGUCAAUGUUUCUAUGGCAACCACUCUCACCAAUCAGCGAGUUUGUUGGAAGGCCACACCCCUACUACUUGAAAGCAGGCUCAGAGACGUUAUGAACGUUGGAUGCAAGACCACAUAUUUUUAUUGAGGCUUCUGAUUGAGUGAAGACUUCACAUCAAGAAGCUCCGUGGAGUCUGGUGGAGAUUUUCCAGCGUUCUCAGUCCUGCUACCAAGAAGCUUCCCUUUCUAUAUGUGCCUCUCACCUGGUGAUGUAAUUGCCCAAGGAUGCCCAGAGCGGUACAAUGGCCACGCCGAUGGCCACUGCUGACGGCACCAGUGUGUAGUAACGCUCCCAGUAAUUGGUUGAGAC